GCACCUGGGAUUGCGCGCUGUUUCACUGUCCAAUUUCGAUUGUGGCUCGGAAGUACCAAAGCGGGUGAAAGCCCCUUUCGGAACAGCUGCGUAGUCCUCAGAUGUGUGCUCUCUCGAGUCGGAUUGCUUGAGAAUGCAGUCCAAAGUGGGUGGUAAACUCCAUCCAAGGCUAAAUACUGGCACGAGUCCGAUAGUAAACAAGUACCGUGAGGGAAAGUUGAAAAGUACUCUGAAGAGAGAGUAAAUAGUACGUGAAGCCGAUUGCAGGGAAGCUGGUGGAGUCAAGCCUCGUGCUUGAGGAAUUGUCACGUGGAGUGUAAUGUGUUGUUGGCGCGCUGUGGUCAAUGUGGAAAGAAUUGGGUGGCUUCGGCUGCUUCAAGUCGUUCCGGGUUGUAUGUUUGGGCCAGCGGUUGUGUCUUGCUCCAUGUGCUCUAUUUCUCGCUGCACAGAUCACGGUCAGUGGUGGCGUACUGGGUGACAGUGUAACUGUGCUUUGGUGGGCGUAAGCCUGCCGGGUGCAGGAUGGCAGGUACCACUCUUGAG
rnacentral:rRNA from 1 species